CUGCAGUGAGUAGGGUUGUUACAGUUUACAGAUGACGAAACUGAGGCAAAAUGUCUUGUUAGGGUCACACAGGCUGUGAGUGAGCCAUGCCCCAGCUCUCCAGCCCCUUGGCCAGGACAAGGAGCCUGGAGUCUGGGUCUGGGGGCGGCCCCUGAGGGUGGGCUGAGUGGGCAGCUGCAGCCCUGCUCCCUCCUCCCUCCCACCAGCUGGCGGGCCAGCCGGCCGUGCACUUGAAGCGUGACUUCUUCCUUGCUAAUGCAUCUCGGGCGCGCUCAGAGCAGUUCAUCAACCUGCGAGAGGUCAGCACCCGCUUCCGCCUGCCACCCGGGGAGUAUGUGGUGGUGCCCUCCACCUUCGAGCCCAACAAGGAGGGCGACUUCGUGCUGCGCUUCUUCUCGGAGAAGAGUGCUGGGACCGCGGAGCUAGAUGACCAGAUCCAGGCCAAUCUCCCCGACGAGCAAGUGCUCUCAGAAGAGGAGAUUGAUGAGAACUUCAAGGCCCUCUUCAGGCAGCUGGCAGGGGAGGACAUGGAGAUCAGCGUGAAGGAGCUGCGGACAAUCCUCAAUAGGAUCAUCAGCAAACACAAAGACCUGCGGACCAAGGGCUUCAGCCUAGAGUCGUGCCGCAGCAUGGUGAACCUCAU
rnacentral:sRNA from 1 species